CCCCGAUACCGGGGAGGAGGAAAGACGCAUGCCUCAGUGCGUGUGGUAUCUCAGGGGGCCAGCGCCCCCCACUCUGCUAAACCCAAUCGGCCGUACUAUCCCUGCCAAAUGCCGAACCACCCCUCUGGUGGUGACAGGGUCGGGUGCCUACGCCACAGAGUUGUCGGGGCGGUGCGUCAUUACUGAUGUUGGUGGUAAGGCCCUGGAUGGCGUUGCCCCGGCGUGACGUGCAGCAAUGAACACGCUUGCGCCAUCCAUAUGAUGGACAGAGCGCCAGCGUGGCUCGAACGCAUCUCACCCGGCCCUCGCUGCCCAGUGCGGGGAGGCUGAGCGACGCCGAGGAACGCACUGCGUGGCGGCUGGAAUGAUGACAGCGCGUCUGUGAGACCACCUGCGAGGCCGGGGCGGUGCUCUAAGGUGACCGACUCGGCGCAUUGCUGCAACCCACGCCUACGACUGCUUCGCACCACGCGAGGUGGGCCUGUGACAGCUGGGAAUCAAGUGGAACUGAACGCACGUUCUGCGGCAGGGCGAACACCCUGGGGGAAAAAGCAUUCUUUUCAGUCUGUGUCAGACAUGCUUUUCCUCCUUCGUCUUGCUCAUGAGAACGGAGGCCCUUUGCUUUGUGUUGUCCCGAAGUCCCCCUCAUGCUCUUCACCGCCGAGCUUCUGAAGGAACAAAGCAUGCGAUCAACACGGCGCGCCACCGUGAUGCUCUCUGUCCUGUGUGCGUGUGUGUGCGCGUGCCACACACAACGAUGUGCCGCUUCAAUCGCUGCGCCCUUCACGUUGGUGAAUGCCUCUUGAGGGCGCUUAAAAAAGGAAGAAAAAGCGUGCUUUCUGUGCGCUUCUCCUUCAGCGCGGUCUAGUCGUGGGUAUAUAAAGUUGACGAAGAGAGAUGAUGAAGGGAGCCGGUGCCUGUGUCAAACAACAAAAGAAGACAUCUCGUGCUGAGAUGGAGCGCCUUCCGUCGUCAGCGUACGUGGAGGGCAGGGGUGCACAUACAUGCUCGGCCUGCUCAAAAUGCUUCAGCUCUUUUCAAGUUUUGCACUAGCAGUGCAGAGAUGGUGCGUGCUGCGGAUGCGCGAGGGGCAGCUUUACACCGCCCUCCUCCUGCGAGGACAGACGGAGGAUGAGAGUGAGCUGAAGGUGACUCAAAGUGCUCCGCAAGCAAGCACCACAAUUGGUACUUCGCGUUGCGCCGCGACUACAUCCUUCGGUUUUAGCAUUAACGCUUUCACGAAGGCCGACAACUUGACCUCUUCCUUUCAUCACCUUUGCCUUCCCGCAUGCUGACAUUAGCGUCCUUGUUGGCGCGCGCGCACAG
rnacentral:misc_RNA from 1 species